CACGUAGGGUGCGAGCGUUGUCCGGAAUUAUUGGGCGUAAAGAGCUCGUAGGCGGUCUGUCGCGUCGGCUGUGAAAACUCAGGGCUUAACCCUGAGCCUGCUUCCGAUACGGGCAGACUAGAGGUAUGCAGGGGAGAACGGAAUUCCUGGUGUAGCGGUGGAAUGCGCAGAUAUCAGGAGGAACACCGGUGGCGAAGGCGGUUCUCUGGGCAUUACCUGACGCUGAGGAGCGAAAGUGUGGGGAGCGAACAGG
rnacentral:rRNA from 1 species